rnacentral:rRNA from 1 species
AGCUCCAAUAGCGUAUAUUAAUGUUGUUGCAGUUAAAAAGCUCGUAGUUGGAUUUCUGACAAGAGCGACUGGUCCGAGCCUUCGGGUUCGAGUACUUGUGUCGUCUCUAGUCAUCCUUAUGGAGAACAUGGAUGGCAUUCGGUUGUCGUCUAUGGGACCCAUAUCAUUUACUGUGAAAAAAUUAGAGUGUUCAAAGCAGGCAAUCGCUAUGAAUACAUUAGCAUGGAAUAAUAAGAUAGGACUUUGGUACUAUUUUGUUGGUUUGCAUACCAAGGUAAUGAUUAAGAGGGACAGUUGGGGGUAUUCGUAUUUAAUUGUCAGAGGUGAAAUUCUUGGAUUUAUGAAAGACGAACUACUGCGAAAGCAUUUACCAAGGAUGUUUUCAUUAAUCAAGAACGAA